UAAUACGGGGGGAGCAAGCGUUGUUCGGAUUUACUGGGCGUAAAGGGCGCGUAGGCGGCCACCGCAAGUCGGUUGUGAAAUCUCCGGGCUUAACCCGGAAAGGUCAAUCGAUACUGCGGGGCUAGAGUGCAGAAGGGGCAACUGGAAUUCUCGGUGUAGCGGUGAAAUGCGUAGAUAUCGAGAGGAACACCUGCGGCGAAGGCGGGUUGCUGGGCUGACACUGACGCUGAAGCGCGAAAGCUAGGGGAGCGAACGGGAUUAGAUACCCCGGUAGUCCUAGCCUUAAACGAUGAAUGCUUGGUGUCUGGGGUUUUAUAGUCCCCGGGUGCCGUCGCUAACGCUUUAAGCAUUCCGCCUGGGGAGUACGGUCGCAAGACUG
rnacentral:rRNA from 1 species